GACGAACGCUGGCGGCGUGCCUAAUACAUGCAAGUAGAACGCACAGUUUAUACCGUAGCUUGCUACACCAUAAACUGUGAGUUGCGAACGGGUGAGUAACGCGUAGGUAACCUGCCUGGUAGCGGGGGAUAACUAUUGGAAACGAUAGCUAAUACCGCAUAAUAUUAAUUAUUGCAUGAUAAUUGAUUGAAAGAUGCAAUUGCAUCACUACCAGAUGGACCUGCGUUGUAUUAGCUAGUAGGUGAGGUAACGGCUCACCUAGGCGACGAUACAUAGCCGACCUGAGAGGGUGAUCGGCCACACUGGGACUGAGACACGGCCCAGACUCCUACGGGAGGCAGCAGUAGGGAAUCUUCGGCAAUGGACGAAAGUCUGACCGAGCAACGCCGCGUGAGUGAAGAAGGUUUUCGGAUCGUAAAGCUCUGUUGUAAGAGAAGAACGGGUGUGAGAGUGGAAAGUUCACACUGUGACGGUAGCUGACCAGAAAGGGACGGCUAACUACGUG
rnacentral:rRNA from 1 species